rnacentral:ncRNA from 1 species
AGCUCCAGUGAAGUUGGAAUGGAACGCGUACGACGACUACGCAAGCCUUCUCUAACCUAGAGCACAAAAUAACUGGCUUGCGGCAGCCAAGCGUUCAGAGCGACGUUGCUUUUUGAUCCAUUGAUGUCGGCUCUUCCUAUCAUACUGAAGCAGAAUUCAGUAAGCGUUGGAUUGUUCACCCACAAUUAUGGAACAAGACCUGGCGUUUAGACAGUCGUGAGACAGGUUAGUUUUACCCUACUGAUGAAAUGUUGUUGCAAUAGUAAUCGAACUUGGUACAAGAGGAACUGUUCAUUCGGAUAAUUGGUAUUUGGGCCUGCCUGAGCAGGGAAUGGCCCGAUGCUAUCCUCCGUUGGGUUAUGGCUGAACGCCUCUAAGUCAAAACUCGUGCUAGAACGCGACGAUUACCCCCUUUCGAUUUUUAAUUGAAUACGAAUAAAUCCUCGGAUCCUGAAUCAUACAACGUGGGGUUGACUUGCAGAGCGGAAUGGCGUUGUGAGGUUCCUGCUAAUGUUGAUUUCAAAUAUUGGAAGAGAUAAAUCCAUUGCAGACGACGUUAAUUGAACGGGGUAUUGUAAGUAGUAGAGUAGCUCUGUUGCUACGAUCUGCUGAGAUUAAGACCAUUAUUCUAUAGAUUU